rnacentral:rRNA from 1 species
CCUACGGGCGGCAGCAGUGGGGGAUAUUGCACAAUGGGCGCAAGCCUGAUGCAGCGACGCCGCGUGAGCGAAGAAGUAUUUCGGUAUGUAAAGCUCUAUCAGCAGGGAAGAAAAUGACGGUACCUGACUAAGCAGCUCCGGCUAAAUACGUGCCAGCAGCCGCGGUAAUACGUAUGGGGCAAGCGUUAUCCGGAUUUACUGGGGUGAAAGGGAGCGUAGGCGGGCCUGUAAGUCCGAUGUUAAAAUUUGGGGGUCAACCCCAAACGUGCAGUGGAAACUGCAGGGCUUGAGUGGCGGAGAGGCAGGCGGAAUUCCUGGUGUAGCGGUGAAAUGCGUAGAUAUUAGGAGGAACCCCAGUGGCGAAGGCGGCCUGCCGG